rnacentral:rRNA from 1 species
CUACGUGCCAGCAGCCGCGGUAAUACGUAGGUGGCAAGCGUUGUCCGGAAUUAUUGGGCGUAAAGCGCGCGCAGGCGGAUUGGUCAGUCUGUCUUAAAAGUUCGGGGCUUAACCCCGUGAUGGGAUGGAAACUGCCAAUCUAGAGUAUCGGAGAGGAAAGUGGAAUUCCUAGUGUAGCGGUGAAAUGCGUAGAUAUUAGGAAGAACACCAGUGGCGAAGGCGACUUUCUGGACGAAAACUGACGCUGAGGCGCGAAAGCCAGGGGAGCGAACGGGAUCAGAUACCCCGGUAGUCCUGGCCGUAAACGAUGGGUACUAGGUGUAGGAGGUAUCGACCCCUUCUGUGCCGGAGUUAACGCAAUAAGUACCCCGCCUGGGGAGUACGGCCGCAAGGUUGAAACUCAAAGGAAUUGACGGGGGCCCGCACAAGCGGUGGAGUAUGUGGUUUAAUUCGACGCAACGCGAAGAACCUUACCAGGUCUUGACAU